GUUUUAUGUUGAUGGAGUUCUAAUGCUGGUGUUUUUGUGGAUGUUGAAGGCAUAUCUUGAGGUCAUUUGCACUCUUGGUAGCCUAGUCUUUGUAAGCAUCUUACUCAUUCAUGGGAUCUGGAUUGGAGUGGCUUAUGUACAAGAAAACUGCAACCAUAAAGGCGGCAAUGUUGAAGAUGAAGGCCGCUGUUGACUGGUGCACAGCUCCAUAGGAGGACUGCUUGCCAUCAAGGAUGACUGAUUGAGCAUUGUUGUCAAUUUAUCGUCAUGAUCAUCCCUCAAGCUCCACUUUAUAUGUUUAUUUUCAUCCCGUUUGAUUCUACUCCGAACAUAUACGUGUCUUGUUAUUUAUGUUAUUAAUUUGAACGGAUUAAGAGUUUGCAUCCA